rnacentral:rRNA from 1 species
AGCAGUCGCCGCGGUAAUACGAAGGGUGCAAGCGUUAAUCGGAAUUACUGGGCGUAAAGCGUGCGUAGGCGGUGAGUUAAGUCUGCUGUGAAAUCCCCGGGCUCAACCUGGGAAUGGCAAUGGAUACUGGCAAGCUAGAGUGUGUCAGAGGAUGGUGGAAUUCCCGGUGUAGCGGUGAAAUGCGUAGAGAUCGGGAGGAACAUCAGUGGCGAAGGCGGCCAUCUGGGACAACACUGACGCUGAGACACGAAAGCGUGGGGAGCAAACAGGAUUAGAUACCCGUGUAGUCCCUGUCUCUUAUAC